rnacentral:rRNA from 1 species
CCUACGGGAGGCAGCAGUGAGGAAUAUUGGUCAAUGGGCGGAAGCCUGAACCAGCCAAGUAGCGUGCAGGAUGACGGCCCUACGGGUUGUAAACUGCUUUUAUACGGGAAUAACGCGCCUUACGUGUAGGGCGUUGCAUGUAACGUAUGAAUAAGGACCGGCGAAUUCCGUGCCAGCAGCCGCGGUAAUACGGAAGGUCCGGGUGUUAUCCGGAUUUAUUUGGUUUAAAGGGAGCGUAGGCCGCAUGUCAAGCGUGCUGUGACAUGUCCGGGCUCAACCCGGGCCUUGCAGCGCGAACUGGCGUGCUUGAGUCCGCGGAAAGCAGGCGGAAUUCGUCGUGUAGCGGUGAAAUGCUUAGAUAUGACGAAGAACCCCGAUUGCAAAGGCAGCUUGCUGCAGCGGAACUGACGCUGAUGCUCGAAAGCGCGGGUAUCGAACAGGAUUAGAUACCCGGGUAGUC